GGUGGGGUACCGAAGCGGCCAAACGGGGCAGACUGUAAAUCUGCUGGAUCAUUCCUUCGGAGGUUCGAAUCCUCCCCCCACCA
rnacentral:tRNA from 2 species